UGGACAAAGCAUUGAUACCUAUGAAAAUGGAAAUUAUUUUUUGGCAAACUUUAUAGCAGCUCAGAACAUCCUGCAAAUCCAGACCAUACACAAUAAGUAUUUGAGUGACUCGAAUCCACUAAAAGUUGGGUAUAUUAGAAUCUGGGGUGUGAAUACCUAUGUGACACAAGUCAGUUUCACCUAUGACAACCGGCAAUUUAUGGAGACAAAUUUCAAGAGUGAACCUUAUAAUCAGAUACUAACUAUUCAAUUGACUGACAAGACUAUCAACCUGGAAAAGUUAACUGAGGUUACUUGGAUUGAUGGUGGUCCUGUACUUCCUACUCCAACUAAGACAAGUACCAUCCCAAUGAGUUCUCAUCCUUCUCCAUCUACUACCAAUGCCACCAGUUCUGAGACAAUCACCAGUUCUGCCAGUGCAAAUACUACCACUGGCACUACUGAUACUGUUCCUAUCACAACCACAUCUUUCCCAAGUACUACUAGUGUUACAACUAAUACUACUGUUCCUGAUACAACUUCUCCUUUCCCUACAAGUACUACUAAUGCUAGCACUAAUGCUACUGUUCCUAUCACAACCACACCUUUCCCAACAAGUACUAUUGGUGUUACAACUAAUGCUACUGUUCCCAAUACAACUGCCCCUUUCCCAACAAAUGCUAGUACUGCUAGCACUAAUGCUACUGUUCCUAUCACAACCACAUGUUUUGCAACAAGUACUAUUGGUGUUACAACUAAUGCUACUGUUCCCGAUACAACUGCCCCUUUCCCAACAAAUACUACUACUGCUAGCACUAAUGCUACUAUUCCUAUCACAACCACACCUUUUGCAACAAGUACUAUUAGUGUUACAACUAGUACUACUGUUCCUGAUACAACUGCUCCUUUCCCUACAAGUACUACUAGUGCUAGCACUAAUGCUACCCCUGUUCCUAUCACAACCACACUUUUUGCAACAAGUACUAUUGGUGUUACAACUGGUACUACUGUUCCUGAUACAACUGCUCCUUUCCCUACAAGUACUACUAGUACUAGCACUAGUGCUACUGUUCCUAUUACAACCACACCUUCCCCUACAAAUACUGCUGAUGCUAACACUAGUAAUACUGUUCCUAAUACCACUAUGCCUUCUCCUACAAGUAGUACUACUGUGAGUACUAUUGCUACCGUUCCCAUUUCAGUGACUCCUUCUCUGACAAGUACUGCUGAUGCCACCAUUAGUACUACUGUACUUAUUGCCACUACUUCUUCUCUAACAGGUACUACUGAUGUUAGCACUAGUACUACUAUUAAUAAUAUAAGUACUCCUGUUCAAACAAAUACUACUAAUGCUAGCACUAGUACUAAUGUUGCUAAUAUAACUGCUACCUCUCAUACAAGUACUGAUGAUACUGUUCCUAAUAAUACUGUUCCAGUUACAGCUAUUCCUUCUCUUGCAAAUACUGGUGUUGACACUACUAGCAACAGUUUUUCCAUUAUGACCACUUCUUUCUCUGAAAGUACUAAUGCUAUGAACACUACUGUUAUUAUGGCAACUACUUCUCCUACAAGUACUGAUGUUGCUAGCACAAAUAAUGAUGCUUCUAUGACAAAUUUUCUUUUAGCUACAAUGUCUGCUGGUAAUAUAACUAGUAAUAGUAUUUCCAUAACAACUACUUCUUUUGGUAAUAGUGUUCCUUUUGUGACUACUCCUUCUCCAAGUACUGAUGCUACUACUACAAGUAAUAAUACUAAUCCUGGCAUGACUACUUAUUACCAGACUUCUCCUACCAUUCCUACCCAUACUCUUACUUCUAUUCCUAGCUCUAUUACUUCUAUUUUGAGCAUGUUUCCAACAAGUAAUACAUUCACUACUGAUAAAAUUACUAAUUUUACUACCCCUACAAAUGCAAACACCAUUAUUUUCAACACUCUUGAUACAAAAAGUACCAUGGUAAUAGAUGCUACGGUCACUACUACCAGCACCAAAGAUAAUACCAUGAGUCCAGAUACAACAGUUACUUCCAUAGACAAAUUCACCACACACAUCACACAGUUCGCUACUCCCCAUUCUGCUACUACUACAACACUGGCCUUAAGCCACACCUCAUUAGCUCCUACAAAUCUUUCUAAUCUAGGCACCAUGGAUAUUACUGAUGCAGAUAACUCCAGCAGUGUUACAGGUAACACGACACACAUUUCUGUUUCAAAUCUCACAACAGCCUCAGUCACAAUAACAGCCACUGGUCUAGAUUCACAAACUCCCCAUAUGGUAAUAAAUUCUGUGGCUACUUAUUUACCUAUUACUGCAACUAGUGCUACCACAGAUACUACAAAUAUUACAAAAUAUGCUUUAAAUACUACCACUCCUGAUAGUACAGUACAUACCUCUGCUACUGCACCUACUUAUAUUGCAAAUGCCAUAAAUGCUACUCAAGUUCCAUGAUUACUACUCAAGGCAGGAUAGUUACCUCAGAUAACGCCUACAAACAACUAUUACAGAUAUAGAAAAUCAGUUACGAGACACUCUAUCUAUCUUAUGCUACUUAAGUUUUCACGGAUAUUAGUACUCUAGCCAUAAAAGACACAGCUACUCCAAACACUCUCGUCAUUGCAGACAUGUUUAGGAAGGUUUACAAACCUUAUAGGUUUCACCAAAGAAGCUGUGGGUACUUAUUUUGCAACCAUAGUAUGUGCUCUUAUUCUUUUAAAUUAUAGUUAUUACUCCUAUAACCUCAUCAGUUAAACUACAGAUGUUUUAUAUAUCCUAUAUAUCCUUGCUACAGAUUUCACAGGUAAUUUUGGUAUCUCAGAUAACACCACAUUAGGCUCUGUAAAUACUAUUGCCUUAGAUUUAGUUACUGAAAUAGCCCAACUUGUUUCUUGGGUCACAUGACGUACCAUAACUGAGAGUACUGGUGAUACCCCCAGCACUCAAAUGGUUUCUAUACCAACAGUUAUUGAUAUUACAGGAGAGUAUGUAAUUAGUAAUGCUAAAAAAAUGCACUUUAUUAUCCUAUGGACUUUUCCAAAUGCCAUAGCUACCAAUAGAGUCAUUUGCAUUACACAUACUAAUAGUAUUAUUUCUUCUGAGGAGAUCCUAGCUGUAGCUACAGAUAUAGAAAAUUCUACCAUUGAAGAUCUUGUAUAACCUUACUUCAGCCACUGAAAUAAUUUAAAUUAUAAAUAUUACAUGUGGGUUUGACUAUCACAGAAAAUAAAAUGAUUAUAGAUCCUAAAAACAUAAAUUCCUGAACUUUGCAACCAUUAAUUCAUAGGUACUACUAAUACUCUUACUACAGAUUUUAUAAGUACUUCCACUUAUAGACAGAAGAGCAUUCUCAGAAAAUUAGAAUUAAUCUAAAUUAUGAGAUAGUCUUAAAGCCUCACUGUUACCACCAAUGACUGGCUCUGACUCUAGUAUAAAUCAGAAAUUAUCCAGACAGAGGUGAGAAUGUAAAUAUACAGCAUGAGGAAGACAGCCUCCACAUUGGAAUCAGAGUUCAUAAUCUUAUUUGCAUUUUCUUCUAUUAAUACAAGCUUUUCCCUUAUAAUUUCACUGUUCAGACUCCCCUUCAUUGUGUUAGGGUUUUCAGUCUAUUCCUGGUUUUUCAUAUCCAAAUUCAUCAUCCAUCCUUGAUCCAUUGUUUUCUUAGAUCACUCAAACCCCCAUGAGUAGACCCAUGGUCAUUACCAAAUCUGGUCAUUUGGGUACUAUUGUAGGUUUAACCCUAGGGCAAUAUUCUCGAAGUUUAGUUCAGGGAUCCAUGGGGUUCCCCAAGACUUUCUGGAGCACACAGCUUCUUCAAAUCUACUUUCAUAAUGAUGCUAAGUUAUUUGUUUUUUCAGUCUCAUUGUCUCAUUAGUAUACAGUGGCACUGUCCAGAUGCUCUAUGCUGUAUUGUGUCAUAAAAGAUGAAUAUAGAAAAAGAAAAAAGAAUCUAGCUGUAUUCUAUUAAGCUAGACAUUAAACAGAUUUACAAAAUGUAAAAUAAUGUCAUUCUUCUAAUUUUUUUUUGCUUUGGGAAAUACAGUUAUUUUUCAUUAAAAACAUAUUUAUG
rnacentral:lncRNA from 1 species